ACGAACGCUGGCGGCGCGCCUAACACAUGCAAGUCGAGCGAUGAACAUUCAUUGAUCCCUUCGGGGUGAUUUGAGUCGGAUUAGCGGCGAACGGGUGAGUAACGCGUGAGGAACCUGCCUCUCACAACGGGAUAGCCUCGGGAAACCGGGAUUAAUACCGUAUGACAUUACUAGUUGGCAUCAUCAAGUAGUUAAAGUGCUAGCGGUGAGAGAUGGUCUCGCGUCUGAUUAGUUAGUUGGUGGGGUAACGGCCCACCAAGACGACGAUCAGUAACCG
rnacentral:rRNA from 1 species